rnacentral:rRNA from 1 species
UACGGGGGGGGCAAGCGUUGUUCGGAAUUACUGGGCGUAAAGGGCUCGUAGGCGGCCAAGUAAGUCAGACGUGAAAUCCCUCGGCUUAACCGGGGAACUGCAUCUGAUACUGGAUGGCUUGAGAUUGGGAGAGGGAUGCGGAAUUCCAGAUGUAGCGGUGAAAUGCGUAGAUAUCUGGAGGAACACCGGUGGCGAAGGCGGCAUCCUGGACAGAUACUGACACUGAGGAGCGAAAGCCAGGGGAGCAAACGGG